rnacentral:lncRNA from 1 species
UAGGGGGUUAUGUGUUUGCAUCUUUUAUAUGAGUAGAACUAGUGUGCUAUUAGGAGCACGGAGGUCUCCGUACUUUUAAGCUGUUUUUGAUGAUGGAACUUUCGAAUCGACGAUCGGCUCCGUUAGACUUGAUUUAGUGUACGUAUUUGAACUAGAUGAAAUAUAAAUUUUACGAUUUUUCGAUAUCAUUUAUCUAGUAAUCGAAAGGAUUCAAAAUCAACAGUUGAAAAUUAAAAUCUCACAAAAAAUUAUGACGUAGUACUAAAAUUUUCGAUCACAGAUAUUGAUCUUAUUGUAGAUAUUAUAAAAAAAAUUUUCUAUCAAAAAUUUAUCUGGUUUAGAUGCUUCUACACCGUUAAACUUGUAAACGGUAUAUAUCAGCCAUUAAAAAUUAUUGAUUUUAAAUUCUUUUGAUUAUUAAGUAAAUGAUAUCGAAAAUUAGCAAAAAAUUAUUUUUUAAAUAUUUUAAAUACGCUAAAUCAAAUCUAAUAAAAUCAAACGUAGUUUCAAAAGUUUCAUCAUCAAAAGUGAUUUAGAAGCAUUGAACAUU